rnacentral:rRNA from 1 species
AACGAACGCUGGCGGCAGGCCUAACACAUGCAAGUCGAGCGCCCUUUCGGGGGCGCGGCGGCCGGGUGCGUACCGCGUGGGAAUAUGCCCUUCUCUACGGAAUAGCCUCGAGAGACUGAGAGUAAUACCGUAUACGCCCUAUGGGGGAAAGAUUUAUCGGGGAAGGAUUAGCCCGCGUUGGAUUAGGUAGUUGGUGGGGUAAUGGCCUACCACGCCGACGAUCCAUAGCUGGUUUGAGAGGAUGAUCAGCCACACUGGGACUGAGACACGGCCCAGACUCCUACGGGAAGCAGCAGUGCGGAAUCCUAGACAAGGGGGGAAAGCCUGAUCGAGCCAUGCCGUGUGAGUGAUGAAGGCCUUAGGGACGCAAAGCCUGCUCAGCGGGGAAGAUAAUGACGGUACCAGAAGAAGAAGCCCCGGCUAACUCCGUG